rnacentral:rRNA from 1 species
GCGAUCCGGAGCCAACCCACAAAAAAAUACCAUCCCAGUUCGGAUUGCAGUCUGCAACUCGACUGCAUGAAGCUGGAAUCGCUAGUAAUCGCGGAUCAGAAUGCCGCGGUGAAUACGUUCCCGGGUCUUGUACACACCGCCCGUCACACCAUGGGAGUCGGAUAUGCCCGAAGUCAGUGACCCAACCGCAAGGAGGGAGCUGCCGAAGGUGGAGCCGAUGACUGGGGUGAAGUCGUAACAAGGUACC